rnacentral:rRNA from 1 species
AUUGAACGCUGGCGGCAGGCUUAACACAUGCCAGUCGAGCGGUAGCACAGGGGAGCUUGCUCCCUGGGUGACGAGCGGCGGACGGGUGAGUAAUGUCUGGGAAACUGCCUGAUGGAGGGGGAUAACUCCUGGAAACGGUAGCUAAUACCGCAUAACUUCGCAAGACCAAAGAGGGGGACCUUCGGGCCUCUUGCCAUCAGAUGUUCCCAGAUGGGAUUAGCUAGUAGGUGGGGUAAUGGCUCACCUAGGCGACGAUCCCUAGCUGGUCUGAGAGGAUGACCAGCCACACUGGAACUGAGACACGGUCCAGACUCCUACGGGAGGCAGCAGUGGGGAAUAUUGCACAAUGGGCGAAAGCCUGAUGGAGCCAUGCCGCGUGUGUGAAGAAGGCCUUCGGGUUGUAAAGCACUUUCAGCGAGGAGGAAGGUGGUGAGCUUAAUACGUUCAUCAAUUGACGUUACUCGCAGAAGAAGCACCGGCUAACUACGUG